rnacentral:lncRNA from 1 species
CGCCGGUCCUGCGGCGCGCGCCGACGUGGCGAGGCCCUGUGCGGCCGCCACUGUCACGCCAUCGUCAGACGUCUGGGUCCAGUAAAAGGCAUCAACGAGGCCGGCCGCCUUGGCACAGUCGGGCGUCGUCUCACGGUGCAUGUAGGCAUGGUGCCACCCGAGAAUGGGCCAGGCGCCAGCAGUCGCCGCACCCACCAUCAUCGUGGGCAGGCCGGCAAAGGGGAGGGUCGCAUUGGCCCUUGGCGCAUGCGAUGAUGACCGCGGUAGAGAUGAUGAUGUUGAUGAUGUCAUUGGGGAAUAGGCCGUGGCACGACGCGCAGGACUGCGGGCAACAAAGUCGUCGAGAACAAAGUCGGCCGUGGCCAGGGCCAAGGCAUCGGCCUUGGGCGACACGCGGUUGCCGUUGGCGUCGCGCAGGUCGGCCACGCUCGGAUUGCGCGCCGCGAGGGCGGCCUCGAUGGCAUCAACGCCCACCGAAUAGAGCGUGGCUUUGACGGCCGCGGCGACGUGAUCCCCGGCCACAAGAAUGCGCGCGGGCGCCGACGAUUCAAGGGGGUAGACAAUCGAGGCGAGCCCUGUCGUCGUCGCCGAUCCAUUGAGCACCUCGGCACGAAAUGCGGCAUCGGCCGCCAUGUACUCGGCGGCAAAGCGGUUGGCCACGCCGCCGAGCGGGCCGCCGGCGCCCGAUGCCGUGCCGCCCUUGGCCAGCGCGACGAUGAUCUGGCGGCCGGGCAAGAGUUCGGCGAGCGACGGGUUGGCUGCCACAAUGUCCACGUGGUUCCACACGUCGAUACGACCCAGGAAGAUGCCGGCCAAGAGGUUGGCGUCCAAGAGCAGGGACACCCCCGCACGCGCAAUCUCGGGCACAUUGUAGAUGGCGGCAUAGGGUCGCACGGCCAUCGGCACCGACAUGCAGUCGACACAGGCCGCCGCCAGUACGGGCGUCAGAUCGGUGGCACCCGCCGACGUCACGGCAAAGUCGACGCCAUACAAGGCGAGUCGCGAGAUGGCCUCGUCCUCGCCGUCCUCGGCCAACUUGAGGCGCGUGGCAGAGGCGGCGCCCACACGAGACGCAUAGGCCUGCAUCCAGCCCGACCACACGAGCGACGUCGUGCCGGCACCGACGAGGGCGGCCGCCGCGACGCGUGUCGUGCCCGUGGCGGCAGCGGUCACGGCAGUGGUCGUGCCCGUGGCGGCAGCGGUCACGGCAGUGGUCGUGCCCGUGAUAGUGGCAGUGGUCGUACGGGUAUCUUGUGUGGCUCCAUCCAUUGGGUCGGCCUCGGUGGUUCCAUUGAAAAGAGUCGACGACGAGGACGAGGAUGGGACCAUGUCGCCCGACGAUCCAGAGGAAGAAAAAGAGCCACAGAGCGAAAUGGCGCCCAUCAUGUCGGUGGCCCGCUGGCGAAAGUUGCUCGACAGUGGAACCAGGCCGCGCGAGGCCAGCGUGGCCGCCAGCGCGCCGUCGUUGAUUUCGAGCCAGGCGAGAAAGUCGAGCGCGGCCUCGGCAUACUGACAGUCGUAACCGGCCGGGAUUGCGUCUGUGCGCAACACCGCCGUAACGAGACCCACGACGGGCCACGUGUUGGGGUCGUCCAAGUUGGACAGGCCCACACGCCCGUGUUGUAGGGGAUGUUGCGCAGGGCGAGUGCGUCAUAGGUAUUCAGGGCUGCAUGCGCGGCCGAAGGCAUCCAGCCGAAAAAGAACCGGCCGGCGCGGUUGGUGAGCAUGGGCCGCAUGUACGGAGCCGUCGCCGGGUCGCCUCCUAUCGUGUACGCAAUGACGCCGUCGCCCGAUGCCAAGGCCGCCGUGGUCGACGCAAAGAGGCGCGCACCCGUUACGGGAUCGUAGACGGGACCGGAAGGCGUCGUCCCGGCGGGCACAACGACCGACCAGGUCACGGGAUCGACCAGGAGGGUGCGGUUGAUGCCCGCCGUGGCCAAGACGAGAGCGGCGAGGUCACCGCCGUGGGCAGCAUACGCAUCGGCAAAGGCCGGACUGGCCGACGAUAGGGCCUGCGCAAAGGUGGCGCCGAGCGAGGCCGCCUCGGUUUCGAGAGAUCCGGUGGGAAAGCGCUCGACGGCAAUGAGGACCUCGCCCGGCGGUAGCAUGUCGGGCGUGGCGCCGCUGCCGGCCCCAAAGGCCGGGUCGUCCCAGCGCGUGAUCGUACCCGCCCACACGGCGGCAAAUAGGGGCAGGCCGUCAAAGAUGACCAUGGACGAACCGCCGGCAAACGAAUAGACAACCUCGACGCCAUAGGCCGCCACGGGCAACUGUACGCGCCCGGCCAGCGCACGCGGGACCUGCGCGGCCAAGAGCACGGCGUCGCAUCGACCCGAGUCAUAGUCGGCCAUCGCCGUGGCGGCGUCGGUGCCGAGACGCUGGACGGCCACGUCGUCGACUGUAAAGACAUAGGCCGAGGCCACGACGUCGAGGGCGUCGCCGCCCACUGCGGUGCCCUCAAACAGCAGGGUCUUGGUGGGCGUCACGGGCAGAAUCGACGUGUCGUCGGUCUGGUCAAGAGGCAGGCAUACGGGGUCGGCGAUGACCGCCCUGGACGCCAGCGCCAACAACAAUAGCACCAAGACUGCCAUAGAGGCCUAGAAGAAGAUGCAAUCCACGCCACCGCAGACAAAAAACACCGACGUUGGGAUCAGGGAACCAAGGGCCAGCGGCGGACAGGCGCGCAAGCAACGAACGGGGGCAGCGACGUACCCAGAGGAUGCGGCAACGAGAGAAGAGCAUGUCGCCAGAGUGGCGACGCGUCAAGGGCACGGUCAUUGUAAUGUGUGAUCGAUCCCGUGCGGUCGGACGAUGGCGAUGGCGGUGACGGGGAUAAAGGUGGGGGUAAUAGUACAGACAAACACGGAACCUCGCAGUAGGAUCAGUAUUCUUGGCGUCGAUUCCGGUGUCGUCGCGUGUAUGUGUGUGGGUUGUGCGCAAGAGAGGCCGACAGACUCUAAAAAAAGGAGGAGACGACAAGCAAGGAAGGGUAUAUGUCGUCUGUCUGUGCCUGUGCGUGCAUACUGGAGGCAGACCACGCGGCCGCGCCUUUAUGGACCACACAACCCUAUGGGCUCGUCCAAUCCGCACCGUCUAUCCCUUUUUGGCCACACAAAUAGCACCAGGGUUCGUCGGCUCGAAGCAACAGUUGGACUGCUACGGUCUGUUUUCACGCCGGCAUACGGAACUCGAUCGGGGUGUCUGAUCGUGUGGCGGGACACGCAGCGGUUGCCAGCCGACGGUGGUUUUGUCGAUUUCGCGCUCUCUUCCGAUACGACAGCCUCUGCACGUGGGCCUUGACCCCCUACCCCAAACCCUGGGCAAAAGAAUGGUCCCCCUAUUUUGUCUCAUCACCAUACGCGCACUACCGCUCCCCCCUUUUUUCCUCGGUGGCGACAACCACGCGCAGGCGGCCGCCCCCCCCCUCACAAUGCCCGCGACUACAGUACCCGCGACCGCGAAAAGAGAAAGAAAAAGGCCAACAAGAAAAGAAUCUGUCUCCUUGUUUUUUUCAACUAUAUUUUUUAACGGGACAAUUCUUUUUUUUUUCUUUUUUUGUUUGUCGUCGCCUUGUCGUCCCGGCGCGGUUUCGAUCGUCGAAAAAAUAAGAUAAAAAU